GUCUUGGCGCCGGGUUGCCAGCGGUGUCCGGCUAGCAGGGACCGCCGCGGGGGGUGCAACCGUUGUCCUGAGCCGUCCGCCGCGUCCCGGGUGAGCGGGCAUGCAUGGCUUCGUCCUUGGGGAGAGCGUCACGCUCCGGCAGGAUCGACCGGAUGAUGCCCCGGAAGCCCGGGCGGGCCGUCUCUGCGUCACGCUGCUCGCCCGCGGGCGCCCGCCCUUGCGCGCACGUCUUGGCGCCGGGUUGCCAGCGGUGUCCGGCUAGCAGGGACCGCCGCGGGGGGUGCAACCGUUGUCCUGAGCCGUCCGCCGC
rnacentral:rRNA from 1 species